UCCUUGGUGGCUCAGAGGUUAAAGCGUCUGCCUGCAAUGCGGGAGACCCAGGUUCCAUCCCUGAGCUGGGAA
rnacentral:tRNA from 1 species